GCAUAUCAAUAAGCGGAGGAAAAGAAACCAACAGGGAUUGCCCUAGUAACGGCGAGUGAAGCGGCAACAGCUCAAAUUUGAAAUCUGGCGUCUUUGGCGUCCGAGUUGUAAUUUGCAGAGGGCGCUUUGGCAUUGGCAGCGGUCCAAGUUCCUUGGAACAGGACGUCACAGAGGGUGAGAAUCCCGUACGUGGUCGCUAGCCUUUACCGUGUAAAGCCCCUUCGACGAGUCGAGUUGUUUGGGAAUGCAGCUCUAAAUGGGAGGUAAAUUUCUUCUAAAGCUAAAUACUGGCCAGAGACCGAUAGCGCACAAGUAGAGUGAUCGAAAGAUGAAAAGCACUUUGGAAAGAGAGUUAAAAAGCACGUGAAAUUGUUGAAAGGGAAGCGCUUGCAGCCAGACUUGCCUGUAGUUGCUCAUCCGGGUUUCUACCCGGUGCACUCUUCUACGGGCAGGCCAGCAUCAGUUUGGGCGGUUGGAUAAAGGUCUCUGUCAUGUACCUCCUCUCGGGGAGAUCUUAUAGGGGAGACGACAUGCAACCAGCCUGGACUGAGGUCCGCGCAUCUGCUAGGAUGCUGGCGUAAUGGCUGUAAGCGGCCCGUCUUGAAACACGGACCAAGGAGUCUAACAUCUAUGCGAGUGUUUGGGUGUCAAGCCCGAGCGCGUAAUGAAAGUGAACGGAGGUGGGAACCUUUCGGGGUGCACCAUCGACCGAUCCUGAUGUCUUCGGAUGGAUUUGAGUAAGAGCAUAGCUGUUGGGACCCGAAAGAUGGUGAACUAUGCUUGAAUAGGGUGAAGCCAGAGGAAACAUCUGGUGGAGGCUCGCAGCGGUUCUGACGUGCAAAUCGAUCGUCAAAUUUGGGCAUAGGGGCGAAAGACUAAUCGACUAUCUAGUAGCUGAUCCUGCCGAAG
rnacentral:rRNA from 1 species